UACGUAGAGGGCAAGCGUUGUCCGGAUUUAUUGGGCGUAAAGAGCUCGUAGGCGGUUCGAUGAGUCGGCUGUGAAAUCUCCACGCUUAACGUGGAGGGGUCAGUCGAUACUGUCGUGACUCGAGUCCGGUAGGGGAGAAUGGAAUUCCCGGUGUAGCGGUGAAAUGCGCAGAGAUCGGGAGGAACACCCGUAGCGAAGGCGGUUCUCUGGGCCGGUACUGACGCUGAGGAGCGAAAGCGUGGGGAGCAAACAGGG
rnacentral:rRNA from 1 species